ensembl:lncRNA
GUUAGCCCCCUGGUUAGCCCCCUGGUUAGCCUCCUGGUUAGCCCCCUGGUUAGCCUCCUGGUUACCCCCUGGUUAGCCCCCUGGUUAGCCCCCCUGGUUAGCCUCCUGGUUAACCCCUGGUUAGCCUCGUGCUUUAGCCUUGUGGUUAGCCAUCCUGGUUAGCCAACUGGUUAGCCCUCCUGGUUAGCCCUCCUGGUUAGCCAUCCUGGUUAGCCCCUUCUGGUUAGCCCCACUGGUUAGCCAUCCUGGUUAGCCUCCGUUGUUAGCCCCCUGAUUAGCCCCCCUGGUUAGCCUCCCUGGUUAGCCUCCCUGGUUAGGCCCCCUGGUUAGCCUCCCUGGUUAGCCCGUGUUUUAAAUGCUACUGUGUUGAUGUGAAGGAAGCUACGCUAUGCUACGCUACGUUACGCCUAGCUCUUCACAUUGUAACUUUACUAACCAUCAGAAAAAUCUUGAAUCAAGAGUUGAGUUUAGCCAAAAUGGCCUCUGAUCUGUGGUGACUGCACAUGUGAAAACCUUUAAUGAUUAAUCUAUGAAUGACCGAUCAUUUCAACCUACAGUUUGACCUGUGCUCUGAUUGGCCGAUAAGAUACAUUCCUGAGAUCUACUAGAACCAAUCAGAACCGUUGAGGUAUCUGAUGACCUCUGACCUCUUCAUGGAUCAGACCCAGAGAGUCAUGAGCUGUGAACCUCCAAUAAACACAAAACCUUUUACAUGAUCCGUCUUUCAUUUCAAACUGCAGACGGCUCUCUGAUCGAUCCAAGGUAGGUUUGACUACAGCAGAGCUCCUCUAGAACCCGGUUCACUGCUCCUCUAGAACCCGGUUCUACGCUCCUCUAGAACCCGGUUCACUGCUGAUCUAGAACCCGGUUCACUGCCCCUCUAGAACCCGGUUCACUGCUGAUCUAGAACCCGGUUCACUGCUCCUCUAGAACCCGGUUCACUGCUCCUCUAGAACCCGGUUCACUGCCCCUCUAGGACCCGGUUCACUGCUGCUCUAGAACCCGGCUCACUGCUGCUCUAGAACCCGGUUCACUGCUCCUCUAGAACCCGGUUCACUGCUCCUCUAGAACCUGGUGGAGCUGUUCCUCUAGAACCUGGUGGAGCUGUUCCUCUAGAACCUGAUGGAGCUGUUCCUCUAGAACCCGGUUCACUGUUCCUCUAUAACCUGAUGGAGCUGUACCUCUAGAACCUGAUGGAGCUGUUCC